AACAAAACAGUUGAUAACUUGUUGCUUUUUAUUAAGGAUAAUAAAUAUAAAUGUUAGUUUCAAAAGCAUUGCAGACCUAGAUCUUCAUGGCUCCAGUAUAUCAAGGGGCUGCAGGAAACUUUCACAGAAUUUGAAAUGAGAAAUAUUGACUGUUAUGGAGGGUGUCCCUCAGAAAAGGAGGGUUUCCCUGGGUUGGUCCCUAUGUGAUGUUUCUAAUGUGAAAUGCAGCCUGUGAAAGAGAAGACAAUGCCUCGAGUCUGAUCUGUCCUAAGAUGAAUGUGCUAAUGCUCCAGGACCGAUAAGACAGAGGAGGUCAAGAAGGGGCCUUGUGGUAGGUAAUGCCUCCUCAAGUUCAUUGACACAGCCUCGUGAAUUUUGAUUAGCACAUUCAAAUACACAUGUUCAGACAAAGUCACAAUAAACAUCUCUGUCUCUUUCUCAGUCUCCUUUCCCAGCUUCCUUUCAGAGUAGAAAUGUGAGAAGGUGAGUGAAUAAAAUCAGAAUUAUUUGUUUAUUGUUCUGAGGAUAACUGGUUGGAUUAUUCAAAGGCAACUGGUUGGAUUCCAUAGGUAGACAGUGACCUAAGGUUAUAG
rnacentral:lncRNA from 1 species